rnacentral:rRNA from 1 species
ACGGGGUGCAGCAGGCGCGAAACCUUUACAAUGCGGGCAACCGUGAUAAGGGAACCUCGAGUGCCUGUAAACGCAGGCUGUUCAGGUGUUUAAAACGCACCUGGAGAAAGGGCCGGGCAAGACCGGUGCCAGCCGCCGCGGUAAUACCGGCGGCUCGAGUGGUGGCCGCUUUUAUUGGGCUUAAAGCGUUCGUAGCUGGGUUGUUAAGUCUCUUGGGAAAUCUGGCGGCUUAACCGUCAGGCGUCUAAGGGAUACUGGCAAUCUUGGAACCGGGAGAGGUGAGGGGUACUUCGGGGGUAGGAGUGAAAUCCUGUAAUCCUCGAGGGACCACCUGUGGCGAAGGCGCCUCACCAGAACGGCUUCGACAGUGAGGGACGAAAGCUGGGGGAGCAAACCGGAUUAGAUACCCGGGUAGUCCCAGCCGUAAACUAUGCGCGUUAGGUGUAUCGGUGACCACGAGUUACCGAGGUGCCGAAGGGAAACCGUGAAACGUGCCGCCUGGGAAGUACGGUCGCAAGGCUGAAACUUAAAGGAAUUGGCGGGGGAGCAC